rnacentral:tRNA from 1 species
GGUAAGGUAGCUCAGUGGUAGAGUGCUUGCCUUGUACACAUGAGAUCCUGGGUUCAAUUCCUCAGCACCA